UGAGAGAAAGGAAAUGAGAGAGAGAGAGAGAGAGAAGGAAGAGAAAUUUGAAAGGAAAUAAAAGGAAAAACAUUUCAUUUACAUGGUUGAGGCAAGUUUUCCAUGGUUAUUUUCUUCCCUGGUGUGAGUACUGAUUGGAAAGGUGCCUAGAAAUUGGGAAACAUGCCAUAGUUCGGUAGCUCUCACAAGACAGCGAGUUCAGCCACAAAGUCCGAGGAUGUGUAGGUGCUCAAAGAAGGGACCCGUUGUGGCUGUGACUUUGGAUGCCAGUGUUAAGAGGCAAAUGUGUGCACUGAAACUGAACUACAAUGAAGCCCUCCUCACUCAAGUGCUCAGAAUAGGUCUUGACAGGAGAAAAUGAACCCUUAGAUGUCAGUGGACCUCUAUAUAGACGGUCCAAAAUUCAGUCAGCUUUGUAUGGCAGAAAUAUAACAACACUUCCAGACUGCGGUAGAAUCUAUAUAGAGACGAUAGUUAAAACAUCUAUUAUACGGCGUAACCAUAUUUUUGCUACGUUCCUAAGGUUGGCAGUGAGUACAUAUAGACCAUUCAUUUUAGGGGGAGCUACUCUUCAAAUACUGCUGCCUUGUAAGGGUUAAAAGUAGUUCUGUCAAGGGGCUUUUAGUAAUUUUUUGCACUAAACUGAGACUUUGCUGCUUUCAAUAAUCAUCUCUUACUUGAGGUUGAUGGAAAUAAUUGGUUUGAUUGCAUGUGUUGGUUAAUAUAAAAAAGAUUCGGAAUUUUGCUUUAAGUUUUCAUUUACAGAGAUACACAGGACAUGCAUUGCCAUAGUUCAUAGGCUACACAUGGUAUUUUAUUUUGCUUUUUGUUUUAAGCAGCUCUGGGGCAUGGAAAAGCCUGGUAGUCGCAAAUUCCAUAAAAGAAGAAAGUUAGUGUUUACGAAUGGAGUGUCAAAUGCGGCCAGGGAGGCGUUGGUGUACGAAUAUAACCUCCCUGACUGACUUUGUGAAUGCCGUAACAUACCAUAGUUUUAUUUACCCACAAAAACUAAACCCUGUACAUAAUCUCCAUAAACCACCAACCCACCACUAUAGACAUGUGAAUAUAACCUCUCCUGGGCUGAGUAUAGAUGCCUUCACCCACCAUACAGCUAUAUAUAUAUUAACCCGAAGCUGCUUAUCUGUAGGAGGGUAUAGGUUAGGAUCUGAAGGGGGGUGGGUGGUUAACUCCUGCUCUCUGUACGAUUGUGUUCAUGUAAUACUUUAAAAGACUAAGAACUCUUUAGAAUGACAAGGCCACAAGCAACAUUGAUACCAGAAUAGUGAGUGUGCCAGUAGAAGGUUCUCUCAAGGGAUCUCUUUCUAGUGGGCACCAUAUAACCACAGUAGAUGAAGCCAUGAUUGCAUAUGCUAAUCAACCAAUCACUCUCUGUCUAGUGGAGGUGUAACUUGCAUGUGUAGCGUCAUGGUCAGCUUGGGGGUAAAGGCGAAGAUUCAUUGAUGAUUUUGACACCAGCACGGCACUCUUGUCAAUCAAUCAAUCUCUUUUCUGUGGCAGUGUAACUUGUGUUUUGUGUGUCGUGGUCAGUUUGUGGAUAGAGACGAAAGUUCACCGAUGAUUUUGACACCAGCAUUACACUCUUGUCAAGCAAUCAUUCAGUCUGUCUUGUGGAGGUGUGACUUGAGUCUUGUAUGAUAUGGUCAGCUUGAGGGUAGAGAUUGAAGUCCACCAGUGACGACAGCAACACUAACACAGCAUUCUUGUCCACCACCUCCUCCUCCUCCUUUUUCUUCUUGCUUUUGUUUAAUGUCCAUAUUUUCCCUUGUGGAGUUAGAUGGGCUACAAGUUUCUCCCACUCCUCACGAUCAUAUACUCUCUCCUCCCUGACUCCUCCACCUUCUCCUCCUUCUUCUUCCUCUUGAUUAAUGUCCAUAUCUUCCCUUAUGUGGCUGGACAGGCUAUGAGUUUCACCCACUCCUCACAACCUUAUACUCCCUCCUCCCUGACUCCUCCUCCUCCUGUAAAUCUAAAACACGCACAUUAGCCAGACCAACAAAAUAGUGUCUACGGUAAAAUUCUUGUGGGCUUGUGAUUCUAAAGGACUUGUAUGUGCUCAGCUGUUCCCUGUAUAUCAAUGUCUCGCUGUCAAGGUGCCAGGCCGGGUUUAAAGUAGAUAGGUGUGCCCAUACGUUAGCUAGUAAGGCAUGCAUAGGUAGCCCAUACUUAGCUUUUUCACCUCCAAGAGUGAUGUAUGGAUGAAUGAAUGCUGUUUUGUUGCCGAGUGUGAAUGUAAUGGUGAGGUUAGGUUGCAUUAGUAAGUUUGUUCAUUAUCUUUCUUUUUUCAUCAUUCUUUUCAUUAUCAUUAUCAUUGUCUUCCACUCUUUCUCUUCUUCUCUGCUAAUUCCUCUUCUUUUUCCUUCUCUUCUUCUAUUAUUAUUAUUAUUAUUAUCAUUAUUAUCAUUAUUAUGUUUAUUGUGAGAGAAAGAAUGAGAACAUGUUUCGAAACCUAAUUGGUGAGAGAGAGAGAGAGAGAGAGAGAGAGAGAGAGAGAGAGAGCAUUGACCCCUAUAUUGAUUAAGUGACAGGAAGCAUCAGAUAUGUUGACUUGGCUGUCUGGUUUUGCAAGGGUGGCAGGGAGAGGCAUUGGCUUAGGACAUAGGUACACAUUUGUUGCAUGGUAAACGUGUAGAUGGUUUUACAUUGCUCCCACACAUCGGAAAGUUAGAGUUCAUUUUAUUUAGCAAAGAAAAUAAAGCGGAAAUAAAUAAUGGCAUACGUAAAAUAUUAAGGCACUGUAAUGUCAAUGUAUAGACAGACUUGAAGUAUACCAGUUUUAUAUUGUUACCACACAUCAGAAAAUAGGAGUUUGUUAUAUUUAGCAAAAAAACAAUAGUGGAAAUGUUGUAUGGGUUAAGUGUCAGAGGUGUUGCAAUGUAAAUGUGUAGAUAGCCUUGAAGUAACUAUUCUAUAAUGUUCUUGCAGAGUAACAUGAAAGAGAUAGUGCAUUAUAUAUAGCAAAGAACAGAAUGUGGAAAUAAAUGAUUGUGUAAAAUCUAAAAAGGGUCCAGGAAUACCAAUAUGUAGAUGGGCAUAAACAGCUGUUCUAUAAUGUUCCUGCAGAAUAACAUGAAAGAGAUAGUGCAUUAUAUAUAGCUAAGAAAAGAAUGUGGAAAUAAAUAAUGGUGUAAAAUAUAAAAAGGGUCCAGGAAUACCAAUGUGUAGAUGGGCAUAAACAGCUGUUCUAUAAUGUUCCUGUAGAGUAAAGUGAAGAGGUGAUUCAUUAUAUAGACCAAAGGAAAUAGUGGAAAUAAAUAUCGGAAUAAAAUUGAAAUGUGCAGACAGAUGAAGUUAAAGUUCUAUAAUGUUCCUGCAAAGUAAUAUCAAGAGAUUGUUCAUUAUAUAUAUAGCAAAGGAAAGAAGAUGGGAAAUAAAUAAUGGCACAAAACUAAAAGGUGUUGCAAUGUACAUGUGAAGACAGAUGAAUUAAAAGAUCUAUAAUGUUCCUGCAAAGUAAUAUGGAAGAGAUUUUUCAUUAUAUAUAUAGCAAAGAAAAGAUGGGAAAUAAAUAAUGGCACAAAACUAAAAGGUGUUGCAAUGUACAUGUGAAGACAGAUGAAUUAAAAGAUCUAUAAUGUUCCUGCAAAGUAAUAUGGAAGAGAUUUUUCAUUAUAUAUAUAGCAAAGAAAAGGCAGGAAAUAAAUAAUGGCAUAAAACUGAAAGGUCUUGCAAUGUACCGUAUAUGUGUAGAGACGAACUAACCAUUUGUAUUCUCCCCACACUGUAACAUGGAGAGGUUGUGCAUUAUUCAGUAGACCUUCCAUUCAGGGCAACACAGGUACCAAAUAAUUCACGCUAAAAGGAGACGUUAUUUCAAUGGGAUAUAUCGAUUUGGGACUAGUGGGACUUCCUGUGUGUGUGUGGAGUCAGUUCAAGGGUGCUUUAUAAGGAAAUCCAUAAGAAGAAAUGUACUAAAAAUUGAGGGUCUUACUGUAUAUAGCAAAGAAGAUGGAAAUGAUUUUUUAUUUUUUUUAUUUUUUAUUUUUUUUCAGUAAAGGAGACAGAUCAAGGGCUUAAAAAAGACCGCUACUUACUGCCCCUAAAUAAUAAUAAUGGCGUAAAUUUCAAAGGUGCUGCAAUGUAAAUGUGUUUGACGGACUUGGGGUAAUAGUUUUGAUAUUACUCGUACAUGUUACAGUGUGGUAGAGUCAUGUUAUAUUCAGUAAGGGAAUGUGAGGAUAAGGGACAGCAAGUACGUAUUGUAAUUCUCGAGCAACCUUGUGGCACUCAUGAAAAAUGUUAAUUGCAGCGUGUAUACCUAGAUGAAAAAUGCAAGUAUACUAUAUAUUUAA